GGGGGUGUACCGGUUUCGACGGGGGUAUGGAGGCGGGACCAGCGGGCGGCGGCGCCUGACCGCCAUAAAACGGGCAAUUUAUAAAUUAAAUAACAACAACACUGUUGCUGUUGCUGCCUAAUUAAAGGCAGCCGUCCGACCCGGAAGGACCGCGAGCCGGGAAGGGCGUCGUUUAGCGGUAAAUGUGAGCGCAGUAAGCUUUGCCUGCACCACACAUCAUGAAGCUGACCUGACCUGACGGCGUGACGGUUUGCCGUCUGGGAGGGGAACAGGGAGAAAGGCUCCCGCAAUAAUCGUCUGCGCCCGGAGAAAGUCCCGUUAAAGUGCUUUCGGACGGGGGUUCAACUCCCCCCACCUCCACCA
rnacentral:tmRNA from 1 species